rnacentral:rRNA from 1 species
UACGUAGGCAGCGAGCGUUGUUCGGAAUUACUGGGCGUAAAGAGUGUGUAGGCGGUGUUCCCAGUCUGUUGUGAAAUCUCCCGGCUUAACUGGGAGGGUGCAGCGGAAACUAGAAUGCUAGAGGGUGGGAGAGGUAAGCGGAAUUCCUGGUGUAGCGGUGAAAUGCGUAGAUAUCAGGAGGACACCUGUGGUGUAGACAGCUUACUGGACCACUUCUGACGCUGAGACACGAAAGCGUGGGUAGCAAACAGG